UGCCAGAAAUACUCCAGGUGGGUUAGGGUUUUAUUCAAGGAAAUGCUGCAGUAGAAAACUACCAUUUCUCUGUGCUGUGUUCAGGAAGCACUCCACUGAUGGCCAGUGAUAAACAGUGACAGGGAACGAGGGAAACAGUGCGGACACCGUCAACUCUGUCUUCUGCAGUGCGGUGGCGUUUCGGUGGCUAACCAUCCUACUGGUCUGGCACUUCCGCAUCUGAAGUGCUGGGGAGCCUGCAGCCAGAAACCCUGAGUGCCCAUCACGGAGUACGUUCCAGUCCUAGAUGAGAUUCUACCUUGGGAGAGUGUGCAGAACUGCAAGCACCUGAGGAAAGUGGGUCUGUGCCUAUUCUUGGAAAAAACUGACUCAAAAUUAAGGACAGACCUGCCAAAAUACUGCAAGAAAAGAUGUUGCUGAUCACGGGCAGGAAAUACUCAAAGUCCCACGAGAUGGCCUGUUCUUAGGAGACUUCCACACGAAGUCUGCUGACCUCAGAAGGAUCAUCAGGCCACGACACUCACCGCUGGAGCCGCUCAGGGUUAAGAGGUGUCUGCGAGUUCCUCAUUCCAGGCAUCUGUGCCAACAUGGCACCGGAGACUCUUGUAAACUCCAAGUGUUGUUCAUUUUUUGUUUUUCAGAAGGGAAACAGAUGGCAAAAACUGGACUCAGUUGGGAAAUGGUUGAAUCCAUUAUGUUACAUCCAUGUUAUAGGAUGUUAUUUUGCUAUUAA